rnacentral:rRNA from 1 species
ACUCGAAGAGUAGGGCGGGACACGUGGUAUCCUGUCUGAAUAUGGGGGGACCAUCCUCCAAGGCUAAAUACUCCUGACUGACCGAUAGUGAACCAGUACCGUGAGGGAAAGGCGAAAAGAACCCCGGCGAGGGGAGUGAAAAAGAACCUGAAACCGUGUACGUACAAGCAGUGGGAGCACCUUCGGGUGUGACUGCGUACCUUUUGUAUAAUGGGUCAGCGACUUAUAUUCUGUAGCAAGGUUAACCGUAUAGGGGAGCCGCAGGGAAACCGAGUCUUAACUGGGCGUUAAGUUGCAGGGUAUAGACCCGAAACCCGGUGAUCUAGCCAUGGGCAGGUUGAAGGUUGGGUAACACUAACUGGAGGACCGAACCGACUAAUGUUGAAAAAUUAGCGGAUGACUUGUGGCUGGGGGUGAAAGGCCAAUCAAACCGGGAGAUAGCUGGUUCUCCCCGAAAGCUAUUUAGGUAGCGCCUCGUGAACUCAUCUUCGGGGGUAGAGCACUGUUUCGGCUAGGGGGUCAUCCCGACUUACCAACCCGAUGCAAACUACGAAUACCGAAGAAUGUUAUCACGGGAGACACACGGCGGGUGCUAACGUCCGUCGUGAAGAGGGAAACAACCCAGACCGCCAGCUAAGGUCCCAAAGUCAUGGUUAAGUGGGAAACGAUGUGGGAAGGCACAGACAGCCAGGAUGUUGGCUUAGAAGCAGCCAUCAUUUAAAGAAAGCGUAAUAGCUCACUGGUCGAGUCGGCCUGCGCGGAAGAUGUAACGGGGCUAAACCAUGCACCGAAGCUGCGGCAGCGACACUAUGUGUUGUUGGGUAGGGGAGCGUUCUGUAAGCCUGCGAAGGUGUGCUGUGAGGCAUGCUGGAGGUAUCAGAAGUGCGAAUGCUGACAUAAGUAACGAUAAAGCGGGUGAAAAGCCCGCUCGCCGGAAGACCAAGGGUUCCUGUCCAACGUUAAUCGGGGCAGGGUGAGUCGACCCCUAAGGCGAGGCCGAAAGGCGUAGUCGAUGGGAAACAGGUUAAUAUUCCUGUACUUGGUGUUACUGCGAAGGGGGGACGGAGAAGGCUAUGUUAGCCGGGCGACGGUUGUCCCGGUUUAAGCAUGUAGGCUGGUUAUCCAGGCAAAUCCGGAUAAUCAAGGCUGAGGUGUGAUGACGAGGCACUACGGUGCUGAAGUAACAAAUGCCCUGCUUCCAGGAAAAGCCUCUAAGCAUCAGGUAACAUCAAAUCGUACCCCAAACCGACACAGGUGGUCAGGUAGAGAAUACCAAGGCGCUUGAGAGAACUCGGGUGAAGGAACUAGGCAAAAUGGUGCCGUAACUUCGGGAGAAGGCACGCUGGUGUGUAGGUGAAGUCCCUGCGGAUGGAGCUGAGACCAGUCGAAGAUACCAGCUGGCUGCAACUGUUUAUUAAAAACACAGCACUGUGCAAACACGAAAGUGGACGUAUACGGUGUGACGCCUGCCCGGUGCCGGAAGGUUAAUUGAUGGGGUUAUCCGUAAGGAGAAGCUCUUGAUCGAAGCCCCGGUAAACGGCGGCCGUAACUAUAACGGUCCUAAGGUAGCGAAAUUCCUUGUCGGGUAAGUUCCGACCUGCACGAAUGGCGUAAUGAUGGCCAGGCUGUCUCCACCCGAGACUCAGUGAAAUUGAACUCGCUGUGAAGAUGCAGUGUACCCGCGGCAAGACGGAAAGACCCCGUGAACCUUUACUAUAGCUUGACACUGAACAUUGAGCCUUGAUGUGUAGGAUAGGUGGGAGGCUUUGAAGCGUGGACGCCAGUCUGCGUGGAGCCAACCUUGAAAUACCACCCUUUAAUGUUUGAUGUUCUAACGUUGGCCCCUGACCGGGGUUGCGGACAGUGUCUGGUGGGUAGUUUGACUGGGGCGGUCUCCUCCCAAAGCGUAACGGAGGAGCACGAAGGUUAGCUAAUCCUGGUCGGACAUCAGGAGGUUAGUGCAAUGGCAUAAGCUAGCUUGACUGCGAGCGUGACGGCGCGAGCAGGUGCGAAAGCAGGUCAUAGUGAUCCGGUGGUUCUGAAUGGAAGGGCCAUCGCUCAACGGAUAAAAGGUACUCCGGGGAUAACAGGCUGAUACCGCCCAAGAGUUCAUAUCGACGGCGGUGUUUGGCACCUCGAUGUCGGCUCAUCACAUCCUGGGGCUGAAGUAGGUCCCAAGGGUAUGGCUGUUCGCCAUUUAAAGUGGUACGCGAGCUGGGUUUAGAACGUCGUGAGACAGUUCGGUCCCUAUCUGCCGUGGGCGCUGGAGAAUUGAGGGGGGCUGCUCCUAGUACGAGAGGACCGGAGUGGACGCAUCACUGGUGUUCGGGUUGUCAUGCCAAUGGCACUGCCCGGUAGCUAAAUGCGGAAGAGAUAAGUGCUGAAAGCAUCUAAGCACGAAACUUGCCCCGAGAUGAGUUCU